UUGACCUCGGAUCAGGUAGGGAUACCCGCUGAACUUAAGCAUAUCAAUAAGCGGAGGAAAAGAAACCAACAGGGAUUACCUCAGUAACGGCGAGUGAAGCGGUAAGAGCUCAAAUUUGAAAGCUGGCUCCUUCGGGGUCCGCAUUGUAAUUUGCAGAGGAUGUUUCGGGAGCAGCCCCCAUCUAAGUGUCCUGGAACGGACCGUCAUAGAGGGUGAGAAUCCCGUAUGGGAUGGGGUGUCUGCGCCCAUGUGAAACUCCUUCGACGAGUCGAGUUGUUUGGGAAUGCAGCUCUAAAUGGGUGGUAAAUUUCAUCUAAAGCUAAAUAUUGGCCGGAGACCGAUAGCGCACAAGUAGAGUGAUCGAAAGAUGAAAAGCACUUUGAAAAGAGAGUUAAAAAGCACGUGAAAUUGUUGAAAGGGAAGCGCUUGCGAUCAGACUCGCCUUGGGGGUUCAGCCGGCAUUCGUGCCGGUGUACUUCCCCCAGGGCGGGCCAGCGUCGGUUUGGGUGGCUGGUCAAAGGCCCUUGGAAUGUAACGCCUCUCGGGGCGUCUUAUAGCCAAGGGUGCCAUGCAGCCUACCUGGACCGAGGAACGCGCUUCGGCUCGGACGCUGGCAUAAUGGUCGUAAGCGACC
rnacentral:rRNA from 1 species